rnacentral:tRNA from 1 species
GGGCGAGUGGCGGAAUCGGUAUACGCGCAGUCUUGAGGUGGCUGUGGAGAAAUCCAUGCAGGUUCAAGUCCUGUCUCGCCCACCA